rnacentral:rRNA from 1 species
CGGGGGGCAGCAGUGGGGAAUAUUGGACAAUGGGGGCAACCCUGAUCCAGCCAUGCCGCGUGUGUGAAGAAGGCCUUAGGGUUGUAAAGCACUUUAAGUUGGGAGGAAAGGUUUCUAGCUAAUAACUGGGAGCUGUGACGUUACCAACAGAAUAAGCACCGGCUAACUCCGUGCCAGCAGCCGCGGUAAUACGGAGGGUGCAAGCGUUAAUCGGAAUUACUGGGCGUAAAGCGCGCGUAGGCGGCUAUAUAAGCUAGAUGUGAAAUCCCUGGGCUCAACCUGGGAACUGCAUUUAGAACUGUGUAGCUAGAGUGCAGAAGAGGAGUGUGGAAUUUCAGGUGUAGCGGUGAAAUGCGUAGAGAUCUGAAGGAACAUCAGUGGCGAAGGCGACACUCUGGUCUGACACUGACGCUGAGGUGCGAAAGCGUGGGUAGCAAACAGGAUUAGAUACCCCGGU